UAAUAUCAGAACAUCAGACAUGUUAAUAUGUGUUGUAGUGGUUUAAUAAUAUCAGAACAUCGGACAUGUUAAUAUGUGUUGUAGUGGUUUAAUAAUAUCAGAACAUCAGACAUGUUAAUAUGUGUUGUAGUGGUUUAAUAAUAUCAGAAUAUCAGACAUGUUAAUAUGUGGAUGGGCAUUACUCUGGAUCAGAAGGUUGGGUUUUGGUUGGGGAGAUGGAUGGGCAUUACUCUGGAUCAGAAGGUUGGGUUUUGGUUGGGGAGGUGGAUGGGCAUUACUCUGGAUCAGAAGGUUGGGUUUUGGUUGGGGAGGUGGAUGGGCAUUACUCUGGAUCAGAAGGUUGGGUUUUGGUUGGGGAGGUGGAUGGGCAUUACUCUGGAUCAGAAGGUUGGGUUUUGGUUGGGGAGGUUGAUGGGCAUUACUCUGGAUCAGAAGGUUGGGUUUUGGGUUGGGGAGAUGGAUGGGCAUUACUCUGGAUCAGAAGGUUGGGUUUUGGUUGGGGAGGUGGAUGGGCAUUACUCUGGAUCAGAAGGUUGGGUUUUGGUUGGGGAGGUGGAUGGGCAUUACUCUGGAUCAGAAGGUUGGGUUUUGGUUGGGGAGGUUGAUGGGCAUUACUCUGGAUCAGAAGGUUGGGUUUUGGUUGGGGAGGUUGAUGGGCAUUACUCUGGAUCAGAAGGUUGGGUUUUGGUUGGGGAGGUGGAUGGGCAUUACUCUGGAUCAGAAGGUUGGGUGUCUGAUCCCAGUAUUUUUUAAUUUAUACUGAACAAAAAUAUAACGCAACAUGCAACAAUAUCAAAGAUUUUACUGAGUUACAGUUCAUAGAAGGAAAUCCAUCAGUUGAAAUAAAUAAAUGAGGUCCUAAUCUAUGGAUUUCACAUGACUGGGCAGGGGCUCAGCAAUGAGUGGCCCCUGGGAGGGCAUAGGCCCACCCACUUGGGAGCCGGGUCUACCCACUGGGGAGGCAUUCCCAGCCAAUCAGAAUUAUUUUUCCC
rnacentral:lncRNA from 1 species